CAGGGAACUGCCAUCGGACGGAAGGGAGGUGAAAGGGCUCACACAGGUUGGGAGAGACGCAGCAGCUGAAGAGGAAACCAACAGGGAGGUGAAAGGGCUCACACAGGUUGGGAGAGACGCAGCAGCUGAUGAGGGACCCAGCACCGGGAGAGGAGCUGAGCUGGAGGGAUGGCUCAGAGACACUUCCAGCGAAAACAGUGGAGAGGUUUCAGGACCUCCUGUAAGAACACCCACUCCUCGCCGGAAACUGUCACGCAGAGAUUCCAGAAGACGUGUUUCCGUUAAGGAGCUUUUAUGUUGGAAGCGAUUACGAAAGCAACCACUGUCGGAAUCUGCUAGUGACUAGAGUAGCCAUGUCUGAGGGGCUCUGUCACAGACAGAGGUUUGUGGACUUGAACAAACUCUGAGGGGAUACGAUUUACGCACAAGCAGCUCAUCAUCCCAUCACAGCAUUCCGACAGUCUUUGAAAGCAGCUUGUGCAGGAGAAGGUAUCAUGAGCAACCCAGCCGGAACCGGAGAAGCAGGAGCUGGAGCGGGUCCAAGCCUGGAAGAAAGGUACCAGAUGUUGGAGGUCCAGCUAGCGAUGCAGACGGCGAGGCUUGAGGAGAGGAGGGCUCAGGAUGCAGACAAAGGGGGAAAGCCACCCAGUUCGCCAGAAAGGUACCAGGAUUGGUGCAGAAGUUUGGGGGGGAGCCCAAAAACUAUCAUGGUUUUCGGACAGAAAUGCAAUAUGCCCUCAAUCUGCAGUUUGAUGAAUUCCUGACGAGGAAUCACGAGUGGCUUUCGUGAUUGAGCAUCUUGAAAAGGGGGCGAGAGACUGGGUUAGACCCCUGAUGGCAGCGAAUAGUGACGUCUUAAAAGACACGAUGAAGUUCUUUCGCGCCAUGGAUCUGAUGUUUUCCAGCGAUAUUGAAAAGGGAGUGGUGCGCAGACAGUUAAUGGGUUGCAAACAGGGGAGCCGAUCUGUCCGUGAGUACUGGACUGAGUUCACCAUGCUUGUUCACAGAUUGGGGUGGGACUUAUCGGCGGAACCCAUUCAAAUGCUCUUUGAAGAAGGGCUUUCUUCGGCUGUGAAAGACGAACUUUCCCGGGCGCCCAGGGCGGAGUCUAUGGACCAGCUGACCAAAUCAGCGCUGGCCAUAGGAGCGCGCCAGGAGGCGAGAGCAUUGGAGAGGCGGGAAGGGAAAGGGGAACGUUGGAAGGAGUUCCGCAUUCCAGACAUUCCAGAGCCAACUUUCCCACCGGCAGAGCCGAUGGAAAUCGGAACAGCGCGCGCGCGCGCAGUUUCAAAGCCCAGUGAAGGGGCAAAGAAGGAGGGAAAAGGCGCCCGGAAAUGCUAUCUCUGCCAACAGCCAGGUCACUUUGCCAGAGUCUGCCCCCAGAGGAAAGAAUGGCAAGGGAUGGUAGGGGCUGUGGAUGGAAGAGAGGAAAAUAUACCGGAGCAAGUAAAAGCCAACGCCUGGCUGCCACUGUCAGGGCACAGCAGCCAGGCCAAAGAGCAGUGAGAGUGCCCACGCCAGAACCUCCUAAACCCGCCCUAGUGAUAGAAGUGACGCUAGAGCUGCCAAACGGACACCCUCUAAAGAUAAAGGCGCUGUUGGACUCCAGGCAGCUCCUGCAAUUUCAUGAGCAAAGAGUUUGCAGCUGAACACCAGAUACAGACAAUCCCUUUAAGCAGCCCCUGCAGGUGACCACGAUCGAUGGCAGGGAGCUGUUGGGUGGAGAAGUCAGCUUGCAGACCGUCCCAAUGAUAAUGAAGGUAGCAAGGCACACCGAACUGAUAGCUUUUAAUGUGGCCACCUUGGGAGGAGCUCCCAUUAUAUUGGGGAUGAGCUGGCUAGCGUUACAUGAUCCGCUGGUGGGCUGGCAUCAGAGAGUGGUUUCUUUUGGUUCAGCACAUUGCUUAGAACACUGCAAAGAGGGAAAGGGUUUGGCAGGGGUCCAAGCCACCCUAGCAGGGACUGAAGUAACGGAGAACGUGAAGGUACCACGACAAUAUGCAGAUCUCCGUGACGUCUUCAGCGAAAGGGAGCUGACCAACUACCCCCGCAUAGACCCUUUGACUGUCAAAUCAACUUACUCCCUGGAGCACAGCUCCCUGUAGGCAAGCUGUACGCCAUGUCAGACAGAGAGAUGCAGGAGUUAAGAGAGUUCAUUGACAAGAACCUGAAGAGAGGGUUCAUCAGAGAGUCCAGGGCGGUGGGGGCAGCCCAGUGUUUUUGUGGAUAAGAAAAACACGAACAAGCCGAGGCUGGUGUGUGACUUCAGGGCCUUAAAUGCAGUGUCAGAACCAGUAGCCUUCCCUAUGCCCAGGAUUGACGACAUUUUGACAAGGGUGCGGAAGGGAAAGAUUUUUACAAAGCUGGACCUAAGGGGGGCGUACAACCUGGUACGAAUAAGGAAGGGGGAUGAAUGGAAAACCACUAUGUUCACCCCUUUAGGGGCAUUUGAAUAUUUGGUUAUGCCCUUCGGCCUACAAGGAGGCUCCGCAACAUUUCAAUCGUUUAUGAACCACGUCCUGGGGCCUUUGCUUUACAAGAAUUGUGUGGCCUUUUUAGACGACGUGUUGGUGUAUUCUGAGAAUGAGGAGCAGCAUGUGAGAGACGUCAGAGAAGUGUUGAGCAGGCUGCAAGCCAACCAGCUGUGGGUGAAACUGGAGAAGUGUCAGUUUCAUACCAAGGAGGUGGAAUUCCUGGGGUAUCGCCUGUCAGACAAGGGAUUGGCCAUGGAUCCCGGCAAGGUCCAGGCGGUGCUGGAAUGGAAAACACCCAAAACAAAGAAGGAUGUGCAGAGGUUCCUAGGAUUUGGGAACUUCUAUCGUAAGUUCAUCCGAAACUUUGCCCACCUGACGGCGCCCAUUACGGACUGUCUCAGCAGUAAGAAGAAGUUCGUGUGGACUGAGGAGGCGGAGCGAGCAUUUGAGGAACUAAAAAGGGCCUUCGCCUCGGAACAACAACUCCUGCAUGUGGAUUUACAAAAACUGAUGAGAGUGGAAACUGACGCAUCAGACAGAGCGAUUGGGGCGGUGCUUCUGCAGCCAGGCAAGAAGGGGUCAGAGUGGAGACCAUGUGCCUUUUUUUCGCGAAAGCUGAACAAAUCCGAGAGGAACUACACGGUGUAUGACCGAGAACUACUAGCCAUUCAUGAGGCGUUCCGGAGAUGGAGGCACCUGCUAAUUGGCGCACAACAUAAGGUGCAAGUGUGCACUGACCACAAGAACCUAGAGUAUUGGAGGACGGCACGAGUGCUCAACCAACGGCAAGUGAGAUGGGCCCAGGAGUUCUCCAAAUUUAACUUUGAGAUUAGUUACGUGCCAGGCCCAGAGAACAUUAGGGCGGACGCUCUCUCACGCAAACCUGAAUAUUUGGAGGGAGAGGGGGCACCCGAAGAGAGACAUGUCAUUCCAGAAGACCGCUGGGUGUGUGGGCGGCAUUGGUGGGACAAAGAGAACUGGUAGAGGAAACAGAGAAUGAUGAAUACGCCCAGAAUAAGCUCAGAGGUCUUAGGGGUGAUGGAGAGGAACCAGGGGUUUCGAGGAAAGAAAUGGAGCUUUGUAUUACAAAGGGGCACUGUAUAUCCCUGAAGGAGAGUUAAGGGGAGGGUACUCAAGCAGUUGCACGACAGCCCUACGGCGGGGCAUUUUGGACAACACAAAACCAUGUGGUUGGUCACCAGGGAAUUUUGGUGGCCUAAGGUGAGGGAAGAUGUACGUGAGUAUGUAAGAGGGUGCGAGCAAUGCCAGCGAGCCAAAGGGGAAAGGCGGGCGCCGGCGGGGCUAUUAGAACCCUUACCAACCCCAGAACGACCUUGGGAGGCAGUGUCGAUAGAUUUUAUGACUGAUCUGCCGAAGUCCAAAGGGAAAACAGCCAUCAUGGUGGUGGUAGACCUACUAACAAAGAUGUGCCACUUUGUAGCUUGCUCGCAUGCAGUCACGGCGGAAGAGACAGCGAAGUUAUUUGUAGAAAACAUUUUUAGGUUGCACGGGGUGCCAUUGAGGGUGGUCUCAGACCGAGGAAAACAAUUUACUUCCAGGUUCUGGAGGAAGCUCAUGAGCUUACUGCAGGUGGAGGUCAAUUUUUCGACUGCCCGGCACCCUGAAACCAACGGGCAGGCGGAAAGAGCAAACGGUGUCCUCCAGCAAUACCUGAGGUGUUAUGUCAAUGACAGAGAGAAUGACUGGGUAGAAAAGUUGGCGCUGGCGGAAUUUGCCUACAACAAUGCCGAGAAUGUGUCCACAGGGAUGAGCCCCUUCUUGGCUAAUUAUGGGUGUCAUCCCAGGGCUUUCCCAGGGGGCGAGGGGGAGAGAUGGAGCGUCCCGGCAGCCGAGCAUUUUGUGGAAGAAAUGGAAGCAAUCCAUCGUCAGCUCCAACUCAACAUAGAAAGGGCGAAGGAAGAAUACAAGAGGCAGGCAGACAAGAACCGAAGGGAAGGUGAAACCAUAAGGGUGGGAGAUAGGGUGUGGCUGUCAACCCAAGGGUUGCCGUUCAAAGGAGGUUGUAAGAAAUUAAGACCCAGGAGGUUGGGUCCCUUUGAGGUCAUUCAACAGGUCAACCCAGUGGCUUUCAGGCUCCGGUUACCCAACCACAUGAAACUGCACCCAGUAUUUCACAGGUCGUUACUGUCACCGUACGAAGGGGGACGAGAAGGGCUGGCCACUCGGGGACCGGUCGUAGAAGAAAGAGAAUGCAGCAGCCAUGUGGCAGAAAUCCUCGACGCCAGGUGGAAGGGGGAUCAGGUGGAGUAUUUGGUAGCGUGGGAAGGAGAACCGGAGUCAGAAAACACUUGGGUAAUGGCUGAAGAUAUCAAUGACGAGGUAUUGAUAGAAACGUUCCAUCAAAGGUUCCCAAGGAAACCUCAGCCUGUGGAGAGGUUCCGGAGGGAAUACUUUGGGACCACUGAUGAAGGGGAGGAGUUGGAAGGUUUCCCGGACUCGGAAGGGGAAGGGAGAUGGACUCUGAGGAGGAGGUGUACUUCGAGACCAGGAACCGCAACAGGUUGAGAGAAGUGUUCGAGACAUCGGAAGAUGAAGGAAGUUCAUUCCGGGUUUUGCCUCCUCACCGCCCGUAGAGGAGGGGCGAGAGGGGGUGAAGGGGGCCCUGGAGGGGAGGUGGAUGUCAGGGAACUGCCAUCGGACGGAAGGGAGGUGAAAGGGCUCACACAGGUUGGGAGAGACGCAGCAGCUGAAGAGGAAACCAACAGGGAGGUGACAGGGCUCACACAGGUUGGGAGAGACGCAGCAGCUGAUGAGGGAACCAGCAGGGGGAGAGGAGCUGAGCUGGAGGGAUGGCUCAGAGACACUUCCAGCGAAAACAGUGGAGAGGUUUCAGGACCUCCUGUAAGAACAC
rnacentral:lncRNA from 1 species